GGGCGUGUAGUUUAGUGGUAUAAUAUUCGCUUUGCAUUGAAAAUAAGACAAAUAGUGCCUGCGAAAGGUCCAGGGUUCAAUUCCCUGCGCGUCCA